GUGUCAGCAGCCGCGGUAAUACGUAGGGUGCGAGCGUUAAUCGGAAUUACUGGGCGUAAAGCGUGCGUAGGCGGUUUCGCAAGUCCGCUGUGAAAGCCCCGGGCUUAACCUGGGAAUGGCAGUGGAAACUAUGGGACUUGAAUCUGGCAGAGGGGGGUGGAACUCCACGUGUAGCAGUGAAAUGCGUAGAUAUGUGGAAGAACACCGAUGGCGAAGGCAGCCCCCUGGGCUGAGAUUGACGCUGAGGCACGAAAGCGUGGGGAGCAAACAGGAUUAGAUACCCUGGUAGUCC
rnacentral:rRNA from 1 species